UUCAUCUUUUUUAUGGCUGGCUGUUGCCAUAAUGUUCUUAAACUUCAUCAUUGUCAUAGCAUAUUGCCAGAUUUCCUUCCUUUUUAAGGUUGAAUAAUAUUUCACUGCAUAUAUAUAUAUGCCACAUUUUGUGUAUUUAUUUAUUUAUUUAUUUAUUUAUUUAUUUAUUAUUUAUUUUUUUAAUAUUUAUUUAUCCAUUCAUCUGUUUAUGGACUUUUGGGUUGUUUUCACUUCUUGGCUAUUGUGACUAAUGUUGCGAUGAACAUCAUUGUGCAGUAUGUCUUUGAGACCCUCCUUUUAAUUUUUUGAAUAUAUACCCAAAAGUGGGAUUGCUGUAUUGUAGGGUAGGUACUUCUACUUUUAAAAUUAUGAGAUUCAUCCAUACUGUUUCCCAUAAAGCCUGCACUAUUUUACAAUCCCACCAGCAGUGCACAAGGGUUCUAAUUUCUCCACUUUUUAAAUCCUCAGCUUUUUAAAUUUAUCUAUCUAUCUAUCUAUCUAUCUAUCUAUCUAUCUAUCUAUUUAUUUAUUUAUUUAUUUUUGAUAAUAGCCCUCCUAUGGAUGUUAGGUGAUAUCUCAUUUUGAUUUUAGUUUACAUUUCUCUGAUGAUUAGUGACAUUGAGCAAUCUUCUCAUAUGCUUUUGUCCAUCUGUAUGUCUUCUUUGGAGCAAACAUCCAUUUAAGUCCUCUGUCCAUGUUUAAGUCAGGUUAUUUGAGUUUAGUCUUUGAGUUGUAUGAGUGUUACAUAUUCUACAUAUCAACCCAUUGUCAGAUAUAUGAUUUGUAAAUAUUUUCUUCCAUUCUCUAGGUUGUCUUUUCACUCUGUUUCCUUUGAGUGCAAAUGUUUUUAAGUUUAAUAUAGUCCCAUUUGUCUGUUGUUACUUUUAUUGCUUGUACCUUUGGUAUCAUAUCCAAGAAAUCAUUGCCAAGUUCAAUAUCAUGAAGCUUUCCCCCUAUUUUUUCUCCUAGAAGUUUUAUAGUUCUAGGUCUUAUGUUUAGGUCUUUAAUCCAUUUUGAGUUAAUAUUUGCAUAAGAGUAAGGUAAGAGUCUAACUUCAUUCUUUUGCAUAUCUUCUUUGCUCAGAACCAUUUGUUGAAGAGACUGUUCUUUUCUAAUUGGCACUCUUGUUAAAGAUCAUUUGACUGUAUAUUUGAGAGUUUAUUUCUGGGCUCUUUAUUUUAAUCUAUUGGUCUGCUUGUCCAUCUAUGCCAGUAGCACACUGCUGAUUACUGUGGCUUUGUAGUAUAUUUUGAAUCUGGAAGUGUGAAGCCUUCAACUUUGUUCUACUUUAAUCAAAAUUGUUUGGGUUAUUUGGGGCCUCUUGAAAUUCUGUAUGGAUUUUAGGAUGACUUUUUCCAUUUCUGAAAAUUGUCAUUGGGAUUUUGAUAGGGAUUGUGUUGAACG
rnacentral:lncRNA from 1 species